CCACUUGUUUCUUCUCUGGUUGGAGUUUCAGCACUUCCAGGAGGAUGGAGGUCUUUCUCUUUGAGAGGUUUAUGGACCAGACUGCAGGAGCUGACUGGAAAACUGACUGUAAUGAUGGAAGGACACUCAAGCCUGUUUUAGUCUCACAGUCCUUCACAUAGGAACACAG